GCUCUGGACAUAGAAGAUAGGUUUCAAAUGUAUAUAUCUGCAUAUUCAUGGAAAUUUCAUAUCCUUUAUGAGUUUUCCUGCUAGAUGUUUUUUUCUUGUAAAUGGUUUGAGGCCUUCGGGAAGUUUCUCACAAUUUUCUUGUUCCUAACUCCUUAGCAGGAGAUGUCUAUGGCACUUUCAGAAUUCAGUUCCCUUAAAUAUGGUCAUCAUUUCAGGUAUACUUCUCAUGGUAUAUGUCAGUGAUGAACAGCUAAGGAUUCGUCGAAUUGUGACAAGCUGAUAGUGUAAAUUUACAGGAAUGUUGGUUGAGAAUAAAUUUUGUCUCAUAUUUUCAUCUCCUACUUUUAUGGAUUUUUGGCAUUCCAAUCCUUGAAAUGUAUCCAUCACGACACAUCACGUAUGCUAUCAGAAGAAUUGCAGUGAUCACAUCUCCAUUUGUUCCUAUGUUUGUCGCCCAUAACCUGUUCAAUGAUUGGACUAGAGCUGAAGACGUACACACGUGCAUCUUUGGAGAUAGGGAACGACGGAUUCAAAACCUAAAGCCCUUGCGAUCUAGAUUAGCGAGUGGAGACGAGUCCUCAACUUUAUACAAGUGUUCUAUUGUAUUUGCGUUGAUGCUUUUGUUACUGUAGUUAUAGUCCCAUGUGUAUCUUAUUUGCCUCUUUGUAUUGUGAGAAAUAUACUAUGAUCUUUUUGAUCUCCAUAUAUGGGCACUUA